UAUGGGUAAAUGGACUGUUUAAUUAAUUAAGAUAAUUAGCCAAAUAUUAAUUCAAAUUACUCGUCUACAAAGUAAAACGUCCUAAACAAACAAAAAAAAGUUUACGAAUGCCACAAAUACAAUGAAUCUUUCCUUUCCUUUCUAAUUUGUUUCUUUUCUUUUCCGUGCUUGUACAUUAAUUCCUUUUAUAUAAACACACGUAACUAAAAAAGGAAAAAAUUAAAAAAAAAAAAAACUAAUAGCAAAAAAACAAAGCAAUCCAAUCGAAAUUAGAAAGCUUGGCUUGAAGGAAGGACCCGAAUUUCCAGAAGAAAACCGAUCCGAACAUUCCAGAAACCUAAAAUGUGGUAAACCGAAAUUGCCAUAUUUUCGAUCUCGAUUUCGAUUUUAUGCCCUAAUUUUGAUUUUUUCUAUCUACGAUGCGUAAACGACGACGUUUCGUGCGACUUGUUGCUGAUCGGAAGGCGAGAAGGCGAGCAACAUGAGGGCGGCCAUGAUGCCGACCGGAAAGAAGAGGAGGACGAGCGGCGGCGGCGGUAGCGGCGGCAGCAUCAGCGGAAGAACCACCAUCGACGUCGCCAGAACCACCAGGAUCAGAAUGUACCCUAAGCUGUAACAACGCACCAUGCCAGUGAAGUCACUAUUCUUCUCGUUCUCGUUCUUGUUCUUCUUCUUCUUCGAAUUCUUGAUGUUGAUGUUGAUUCUGUUCUUGAUCUUGUUGUUUCUGUAUUGUGGAUUAUCUCUACGAUCAUGUUACAGGCUGCGCCAGCGUCGGCGAUUGUGGUGGUGGUGGCGGCUGCGGAGAGGGGUAGAAUGGUAAAAUGAAGUGGAAAAUGGAAUGAAAAAGAAGUAUGGCGGUGGAAAGAGGAAUUGGUAGAAGGAUUUAUAAGAGGUGGUGGUGAGAGUGGUUCAUUGGAUUGGGUCCCAAGUUGAAGACCCAAGUGGUUCAUCAAGGAUCGAACUUUUGACCUUUUAGAUCUGGAGCUCUAAUACCAUGUCAUGAUACCACUCAUUCCAAAAACUUCAGCUAAUGGAAACAGGUAACACUAAUGAUUAUAUCUCUAAUACU